CAAUGGCUAGCUUCUGAAAGCCGCUGGCACUUUAGUGAUAAAUUAAGUGACAGGUAGUGAGGUGUUUGUCAAGGAAAGUGCCGUCCAAAUGCUAAAUACUGAUUAUUUCUGCAGCAGUGACUGCAAUACCUCACUCAAUCUCUGUCACUUGCCAGAAACAUAUAUGACUUUAUUAUUCUAAUUGAUUUUAAGAGAUAUUAUGAACUCAAAUCCAAAGUUAUGUCCCACUGACUAAAAAUGAUCUUUUCUUCUAACCUGAAAUCUCCUGAGGGAUGAAACUUUGUGUCUCUUUGGUUUAUCCCAGCAUAUAAAUAGUUACACAUUUUUGAAUUAACAAAUGAGCACAAAUUUGUAUCAAAUUAUUAUCUAGGACAAGCAGUGGAAAAAAAUUCUGUAAAAGGCCGGAUAACUGUUUUAAGCUUUACGGGCCAUGCAGUUUCUGUUGCAAUUACCAACUCUGCUGUUGAAGGGUGAAGACGUGCGUAGGUAAUAUAUAAAGGAAUGAGCAUGUCUGGAUGUUCCAAUAAAAUUUUAUUUUCAAAAAUAAGCAGCAGAGGAGAGCUUCUGGAAUGGUGGUGUGAGGAGCUGGCAGGCCCUCUAUCCAAGGAAAUAACCAUUUAACCGCCGAACAUUCAUUUUUUUAAAACUAGAAAUUAUCCUAAAGGCAUACAGCAGGUGGAUAAAUAUUUACUCAAAUAAAUAAUCAAAUCUCAGUAAGAACGGUAAG
rnacentral:lncRNA from 1 species